rnacentral:rRNA from 1 species
CCUACGGGAGGCAGCAGUGAGGAAUAUUGGUCAAUGGGCGCGAGCCUGAACCAGCCAAGCAGCGUGAAGGAUGAAUGCCCUAGGGGUUGUAAACUUCUUUUAUAAAGGAAUAAAGUGAGGCACGUGUGCCUUAUGGUAUGGACUUUAUGAAUAAGGACCGGCUAACUCCGUGCCAGCAGCCGCGGUAAUACGGAGGAUCCGAGCGUUAUUCGGAUGUAUUGGGUUUAAAGGGAGCGUAGAUGGGUUGUUAAGUCAGUUGUGAAAGUUUGGGGCUCAACCGUAAAAUUGCAAUUGAUACUGGCAGUCUUGAGUACAGUUGAGGUAGGGGGAAUUCGUGGUGUAGCGGUGAAAUGCUUAGAUAUCACGAAGAA